UUUCGGGAGGGCAAGUCUGGUGCCAGCAGCCGCGGUAAUUCCAGCUCCAAUAGCGUAUAUUAAAGUUGUUGCAGUUAAAAAGCUCGUAGUUGAAUUUCGGGACUAAUAUGUCGGUCGUACUUUGUACGUACUAGCAUUAUUGGUUUCUCCCUUCUGACGAACCACGAUGUCAUUAAUUUGGUGUCAUGGGAAAUCAGGACUGUUACUUUGAAAAAAUUAGAGUGUUUAAAGCAAGCUCGCGCUUGAAUACAUUAGCAUGGAAUAAUGAAAUAGGACGUUUGAUUCUAUUUUGUUGGUUUCUAGGAUCGACGUAAUGAUUAAUAGGGAUAGUUGGGGGCAUUAGUAUUCAAUUGUCAGAGGUGAAAUUCUUGGAUUUAUUGAAGACUAACUACUGCGAAAGCAUUUGCCAAGGAUGUUUUCAUUAAUCAAGAACGAAAGUUAGGGGAUCGAAGACGAUCAGAUACCGUCGUAGUCUUAACCAUAAACUAUGCCGACUAGGGAUCGGAUGAUGU
rnacentral:rRNA from 1 species